rnacentral:rRNA from 1 species
UACGAAGGGGGGCUAGCGUUGCUCGGAAUCACUGGGCGUAAAGCGCACGUAGGCGGCUUUUUAAGUCAGGGGUGAAAUCCUGGAGCUCAACUCCAGAACUGCCUUUGAUACUGAGAAGCUUGAGUCCGGGAGAGGUGAGUGGAACUGCGAGUGUAGAGGUGAAAUUCGUAGAUAUUCGCAAGAACACCAGUGGCGAAGGCGCUCACUGGCCCGUUACUGACGCUGAGGGCACGAAAAGCGUGGGGGAGCAA